rnacentral:rRNA from 1 species
GUUUUUCGCUUGAAGAUGAGUCCGCGUGAGAUUAGCUAGUUGGUGAGGUAAUGGCUCACCAAGGCAUUGAUCUCUAACUGGUCUGAGAGGAUGAUCAGUCACACUGGAACUGAGACACGGUCCAGACUCCUACGGGAGGCAGCAGUAGGGAAUAUUGCACAAUGGAGGAAACUCUGAUGCAGCGACGCCGCGUGAGUGAUGAAGGCCUUCGGGUCGUAAAGCUCUGUCGUAUGGGACUAACAAAAUG